GAUGAACGCUGGCGGCGUGCCUAAUACAUGCAAGUCGAGCGAAGCGGGGACGGGGGAGUAACACUUGGAUAACCUCCUAUAACACCGCGACAACGGGGGGAAACCGGAGCUAAAGGGGCUACUUAGAUAUGGCUGCGCGGUGCAUUAGCUAGUUGGUAAGGUAACGGCUUACCAAGGCAACGAUGCAGAGCCGACCUGAGAGGGUGAUCGGCCACACUGGAACUGAGACACGGUCCAGACUCCUACGGGAGGCAGCAGUAGGGAAUCUUCCGCAAUGGGCGAAAGUCUGACGGAGCAACGCCGCGUGAGUGAAGAAGGUUUUCGGAUCGUAAAACUCUGUUGUUAGGGAAGCGGUACCUAAUCAGAAAGCCACGGCUAACUACGUGCCAGCAGCCGCGGUAAUAC
rnacentral:rRNA from 1 species